AGCGGAGGCGAGGGGUGAACGCGGAGCACUCCAAUCGGUCAGUCAUUGUUUCUAUUGGCACAAUGGGAGGCCCCGCCCCUCACGGCGGACUCAAACUCCUGGCCAAGGCCUCUGGCCCGCCCCGAACGGUCCCUAUGACAUCACCAUCAACCAAUCAGUCCCAACUAGAGGUCCACCCAGGACCCAGAGACCUGGAUUUGAGGCUGCUGGGCGGCAGAUGGAGCGAUCAGAAGACCAGGGGACGGGAGCUGGAGUGCAGUGGCUGUUCACAAGCGUGAAAGCAAAGAUUAAAAAAUUUGUUUUUAUAUUAAAAAAG
rnacentral:lncRNA from 1 species